GCGCAACCCUUGUCCUUAGUUACCAGCACGUUAUGGUGGGCACUCUAAGGAGACUGCCGGUGACAACCGGAGGAAGUGGGGAUGACGUCAAGUCAUCAUGGCCCUUACGGCCUGGGCUACACACGUGCUACAAUGGUCGGUACAAAGGGUUGCCAAGCCGCGAGGUGGAGCUAAUCCCAUAAAACCGAUCGUAGUCCGGAUCGCAGUCUGCAACUCGACUGCGUGAAGUCGGAAUCGCUAGUAAUCGUGAAUCAGAAUGUCACGGUGAAUACGUUCCCGGGCCUU
rnacentral:rRNA from 1 species